UACGGAGGGGAUUAGCGUUGUUCGGAAUUACUGGGCGUAAAGCGCACGUAGGCGGAUUUGUAAGUCAGGGGUGAAAUCCCGGGGCUCAACCUCGGAACUGCCUUUGAUACUGCAAAUCUCGAGUCCGGAAGAGGUGAGUGGAAUUCCUAGUGUAGAGGUGAAAUUCGUAGAUAUUCGCAAGAACACCAGUGGCGAAGGCGGCUCACUGGCCCGGUACUGACGCUGAGGUGCGAAAGCGUGGGGAGCAAACAGG
rnacentral:rRNA from 1 species